UGCGCUGUGCGCCCGGCCGGCGGGGCUGGCUGUUUGAGGACUGCGCGCAGAGCUCCGUGGCCGGUGUUUGAAGUCGUCAGUUUACUGCUUGUAAAGAACAUAGCGAUCACUGGGAACCUGGAAGUAGAGACUCCUUUCUGCCGUCCCGCCGUCCCUCUGGCUGCUGCGAAUCCCCCCGCCGGCCUCCAGGACCCCGGGCUGACUGAACGCCCGCACCGGUCCCGCCGCCCCAGGGCCCGCUACGCGCCCGGCAUAAUGGGAGAAAAAUCACGACGGAAAGGCCCAGCCCCUCGCCAUGCAGACGGGAAGCUUGGCCGCACGUGUGAUCACCCUUACGCCCCUUGGAGUUUCACCCCCUCUUCGCGGGCUCCAACAGCCUGGGUCAGGCCUCCUUGUCCUGUGUGGGCCUCUCGGCUGCAAGAACACAGUCCCGAGCCCCGGCGAGCCCGCGCGCCUCCCACCCGCCGUGCACAGGCUGCACUUUACGCCCCAGCACUGCGCCUGCGGGACCAUCUGGAUCACUUUUCCAUUCUGAUGACGUCCUGUACUUCGUGGCUGCAGGCUCCUCAAGCCCCAGGUCUGUGCAGAGACGAGCAAAGCAGCAGAAUAUCCGUGCCACAGCUUUCUGGAGCACCCAUUUUACUACCAGAUUUGGAAGGAACGAAGUUAAGUAAUUUCCAGGAAUCAUCUCCCCUGCCCCACAAACAUGAAAGAAAAGACAAGAGAAGCACCCCAGAAGAGGAGGGGAGAAGUGCCCCAGAAAAAAUCAUCCAGUCUCUGAAGCUUUGCCCAGGUGGGCACAGGCCAGCCAGCCUCUCCUCUGGUUGCCCAGCUGGCUGCAGGUUGUCAUUUAACCUUCCGCCCAGCAUGCUUUUGAGUGUGCAGAAGUGCUGCAUGCCCUCUUCUUUGAAAACCUGUUGAGCAAAUGCCUCCGCAUUUUAUGCACCUUCAACCUCCACAGCCAAAGGCCCCCAAGACCAAACAUGCUGUGCACACACAGCAGCUCUUUGUGUCCCACUCCUGGCCGAUCUCCUGCAUCAUCUCGUUGAGCUUCAUUGAACCCCACAGUCUGCAUGCUCUGUGGAACUCAGGGUCUUCAUUUUGCAUGGAACUCAGGGUCUUCAUUUUCCGUGGAACUCAAAGUCUUCUUGCUCUGUGGAACUUGGAGUCUCAGGGCCUUUGUGCUCCAUGGAACUUGGGGUCUGUGUGAUUCAUGGAACUCAGAAUCCUUGUGCUCUGUGGUACUCGGGGUCUGCGUGCUCUGUGGAACUCGGGGUCUGCAUGCUCCAUGGAAAGCACCAGGAUGCACUUGACCCCCCACACCCAUACAUACAUCCUUCAUUUUAUUCCUGGCCCUCACCUGUCCACCCUGUGAGGCUUCUUCACCCCCACUCUCCUUUGAGCUCAUGCCGGGUCUUUCGGACUGGCCUGAAGCAUGGGUGUUGGUAGAGGGGAGUGGCUGAUGUCACACCUUCAGGCAAAUUCUGCUAGUGUCACACCUGAUGGAGCUGCCUAGGGAGGAUGUUUCCUUGGAGGAUGCGCCCUGGCAGCCACUGGCUUCUUAUGGUGCCUGCACUGCUGCUGCUGCCAUGGGGGCACCACAGGGCCACACUGGGGGCUGUUCUGGAAUUGGUGGUUUUCAUUUCCAGCUUAGGUAGGGACUGGCAGGCACCUUGGCUGUCCUUGUGGCUUCUGUCUUGACCCUGGUCCUCCCCAGGUGGCUGAUUUUCUGGGCUGCUGCUCUUCCAGGAGGAAUUAAAGGUGGGAAUGGCUGAAACCUCAGCUUUGGAUUCACAGAGACCCUAGGCUGUGUCAUGCAAAAAGGGAAAGGAUUGCAGAUGGUGGUGGGAUCAGCCAAAGGCAGGGCCUUCACUGUGAUGCUGGAGCCCUCCAUGCUGGGAUGUUUGCAUAUAGCCCAGGUUCAGUUCGGUGGUCCAUCAGCCAGUCCUGGAUCUGGUCUCACUCGCAAGCCAUGGACAACAUGAGCUCAGUUUGCCAGGACUCUUGGGGUUAGGGAGAGCUCAGCGUCCGGGUGGCUCUGGUUCCUUCUCAUGCUGAAACUCUGCUGGUGUUCCUCCAUGGGGCCCUUGUGGGUUUUUCUGAGAUGCACCUCUUGCUGGAGUUGAGGAUGAGAAAUGUUUUCAGUGGGUUUGCACCCUCCACACAUAUGUAAGAGGUGUUGUGUUUCAUUCCUAUCAGGAUCCAUUGCUGCAGCUUCCUGAAGUUGUGUCCGUUAAAAGGCAGGGACCCGGUGUCCAGGCUACAGAGGGUGACUCCAGGUUCCACACCACCACUGUGGACCAGUGUGCCUAUGGACUUAGGAGAGUUCCCAGCUCACACAAGGGGGCUGCCCCAGAGGGUGUUCAGCUUGUUGCCAACAGUUGCUGAAGCCAAAGUCUGCAACCUUGAUGUUCAGGUCAAGCAGCCAGAAACAGGUGUUCUGGCUUUAGGUCCCUGUGGACAAUGCCAUUCUCUCCUUCCCAGGCUACUGAUGUCCUGGGUUGCUCCUCUUAUGGUGGAAGCUCAAGAUGGAAUGGCUGGAGCUUGGCUGCCUCCGGUUAGAGCCUGGGCUCUGUAUUGCAGACGUCACCUGGCAGAAUUCCUCAUGGGCCCCUUUUGUCGUGGGUGCGACUGCUGGGCCAGGGUUGUCGUGGGUAGUAAAGGUAUUUACCAAGACAACUGUGAGUAAAGAAAGGCAAAUUUAUUACAGAAACUAUGAAAAUACAUUGCAAGAAUGCAGCAUGCAGCACAGCAGAGAAGGGGCUGUCUGCAAAGAUGAAGGACUGGAGGGAAGUUUUCUAAGGUUGUGCUGGACGGGGCUAUGUGCAGGUGAGCUUGUGCUAUAUGCUAAGAUAUGUUGGAAUAAUUUUAACUGCCAGACCUUUCCUCUUCUGGUGCCCGAGGGAAACGCCCUGCUGCUUUUAGCUGUCUUGUAACCCACACGCCUUUUCACUUCUGAAGUUGCAAGAUAACGGCUGUGGUUUUUCACACAAAAGGGUUGCAGACUGGGUUAGGUCCCUGUUCCGCCAACCUGGCUCUUUCCCAGUUUCAGUUAACUUAGUGGUUUACUAGAGCCCCACACCUUUCUCUUUCAUAUGGCCAUGAUCCAGGAGGUAAUCCGUCACCUCUCCUCCGCUAGAGUGCUCCAUGGCCAGGGGUAAUCCUCACCUCUCCUCCGCUAGAGUGUUCCAUGGCCAGGCAGUGUUUCCUGGGUCCAGAGCACCUCAAACAAUUUCAGUGUUGUGGUGACUCAGGGCCUUCACCAUACAGACUUGACAGCAUAGUCUAGAAGCUGGAGGGGCUCUGUGACUCCAUUAAUGACAGUCACUGCCACGGUUUCCCCAGGCAGGAUGUGCCAGGAGAACUGCUCCAUGUUGGCUCAGCAGAAUGUUGUUAUAGGUAGCUCAAAAAGAGAGGGAACAGGGCUUCUCUAGAUUAUUUCAGGGAAUGAGCUAUUAUUUGAAUGUUAAUUUGACUAUUUUAUCAAUUAAAAAUGUAAGGCCCAAGAAACUUCAGUUAGGAAGAAUGAACAAAUUGAAUAAAUACUGUUAAACUUUAUGCUUCUUUCAGCAAAUAUUUUCUGCUCGUCUCUAUGAGUCAGGCACUUUGCUAGAUACCAUAACAUAGAAACAUAGCAUCAAUCCAAUAUGGUGUGGGUACUGUAUGUCAAAUUUUAAAAUAUAAGUGCUAUAUAAGAAACUUCUCAGUGCCCUGGAGGCAGGGUCCAGAGACAUAUCCUGUGGAUGACUGGGGCUGAGGUUUAAGGGAUGAGCCUCGGUGAUGAGACAGAUGGGAGAGGGCACCGAGGAAAAGCGUCUUCAGGCAAUCGUGGUUCAGUGAGCUGCAGCCGUCGCGGCAGGAGAGUGAGGAGCGCGGCCUAUCUGGUGAUUUGCUGUGGUUAUAUUCUGUAAACUCGCCUCGGGUCCUGAAGUAUUGCUUCUGGGGAAACACAGGGUAAGGUUCCUGCAAGCCUCUGGUUGCAAUAUUUUCAACUGCCAAGGCACCAUUCAUGUUCCAUGGGUUCAUUUUCCAACAUCCCUGUAAAACAAGGCAGUCCCAUCAGUGUUGAAAACUGCUCUCCACAUACCCUUUUCCCAUAGAGUACUUCCUGAUCUACAGAGCUGCCACUCCUGAAAAGCUAACACUUUCCAUGCCAUGCUGCCUUUUGAAAGGUGCCAGCCAGGCAGCAUUAGCUAAGGCCUCUUUUUGGCUCUCCUCACAACAGUGCUGCCCGCUGUGCUUUCAUUGGUCAUCAUCUCAUGAAGUCACAAAUGUAGCUGCUUUUCCGUGGUUUCCAUGGUUUUGCCACGCUCCAGGGGGUGUUAGUUUUGCACUUUCCCGAGCAGCCUCGUGUACAGGUUGGUGAAGCUCCCCUUCCUCUUUCUGGAUGCACUGUAGUGUUUGUCAUUAGCGUUGAACUCACAGGUCGCAGCACUAGAACCCACACCUGAACCAAGCUUGGCUAACAAGCGUUUUCUCUGUAAGGCACAUCACAGCCUUCUUGCUCAUAAGGACACUAGACAGCGCUUCAGCAUUAUGCUUGGAGGCCAUUUCAAACAGUGAAAUCAACAACAACAAGCUCAAAACUGCAAAAGAAGUGGUACUAUAGAGACCAUGAGAAGACUGGUUUGCAGGUUGAGAGUAGGAACAAGAAGGCAGCAUGGGGCCCUGCAUGGCCUCCACUGGGAGGCCGAUGGCUCAAAUUGUUGCCCUGCUCUGCACAUGUUUUCCUGUGACUGUGAAAGCAACACGAGUAUUGAUUUGGGGGUUAAAAAUACAUUUUAACAAGCAGAAAAGUUCACAAAUAUGAAAUAGUGGCUAGAGAGGACCACCCCCAUGCUGGAGCUGCAGACAGAGGCUGUUGCGAGUGCGAGGCUUGCUCCUAUCCCGGGAGCUUCUGGUUGCCACCAGCACCUUGUAAGCCAGGGAGUGGUGUCACCUGUACUGUAGCAAAAGCACCUUUUCUCAAUGUGAAGUAUGGCUUGAAGAGAGGAAGAUGGAAGACUGGCUGGAAGAUGGCUGUGUUAGGGGUGAAGCAAGGAUGGGGGUGGAUUGACCAAGCUGGGCCAGAGGUGCGAGGAGCUGAUCUGCGAGCCCUGUGUGCCUGUGAGUCCUGGCGGAGUGGCCGUGCAUGGUGACAGGGAGGAGGCAUCCAGGACAGCACCCACGUUCCCGCCUGAGGCACAUGAGGGUGGAUGACAGGGUUCGGGGCCCUAGCCUUCAAGUCAGACACACCUGAGUUCAAAUCCAGACUCCACCACUGACUGGCUGUGUAGCCUUAGACAUGUUCCUUCACUUCCCUAAGCGUCCAUUUUCUCAUGUCCAAUACAUAGAUCACUAUGCCAUAGGAAUAUUAAAUCACUCAGUGAUUUUGAGGUUAAAAUGAGUGCUGGUGCUUUUUAUUGAAAUAAAGAAAAUGGGAAAAGAAGCAGCAUUUGAGGUGUGAGGGAGGGGAAUCUGGGCAUGGGGAGUUGGAUGUGCCUGUGGACACCGAUGAACUAAUGUCCAGCAGCCAUCCAAUGUGCUUCCAGGAUGCUGGGGCCAGGAUGUGGGGCAGCAACAUACAGACCUGGAAGUUACAAGCAGGCAGGCAGCUGCUGCAGCUGUGAAGAGCAGGCAGUGCAGGAUCAGAGGCCCGAGGGUAAAGCCUGGGGAAUGCCAGCAUUUAGGAAGAGGCCACUGGAGAUCAGAAAAGAGCAGCAGGAAAAGCAGGAGGGUGUGGAGGGAUGGGAGGUGCAGGAGGAGGGUUUCCAAGAGGGAGGGGCAGGAGUCGGUGUUCUGCCGGCAUGGACUGGAAGUCGUAGCACUUUUGAACUGUGGGGACCUAAGACAUCUUUUAGUCUAAUCCCCUUAUCUAUCCUGAAGAAGAAAUCAUGAUUCCAAGGUGACAUGAGUUGUUUGCUUUAGGUCACAGUGAUUUCACAUUGGGAUACCUCGAUUUCUAAUAAGUAAUAGAAUAUUUAAUAAAUACUCUAGAAUUUGGAAUUGCUCCUAUUCCAGUCACACUGGAUAUUUUCCCAAUUUGAUGAAACUGAUAUUUUAACAACUGUUAACCAUUCCAUGUACUAAGAUGCUUAUAGUCAAACUGCCUCUUAAACCUAUUUUUUUGUAUAUUUAACAAAUUUUGCUAUAAUGUUAAAAACAACUUAUAACUCAUCAAACUGCAUUUUAAUUUUAGUAAACACAAAUUACACUGAAACGGGAGUGUUCCCUGGCCCCUCUCACAGGACGUGUGACAAGGGUGCGGCUCGCUGCCUGUUCAAACCCCUUACGGGAGGGGGAUCACGCAGAGGGACAGGUGCAGGAGCCCAAGUGGGUGUGUGCUACAGUGUGCUCUUUUAGUCUUGGCAUCUGUGGAUAGCUUGAGUAUUAACCAGCUCAGUGGACCCUCAGCCUUUCUGCAAAGGCAGAGGGUCUUCGUGACAGCUUUCUGUAUCCCAAGCUCUUGUCCAGGAUCCUGGAAGAAUCCGGUCACACACAGACUUGAAGGAUAAAUGCAGGGGUUUCACUGAGGGGUAGAAGUGGCUCUCAGUGGGAUGGAUGGGGAGCUGGAAGUGGGGAGGGAGUGCGAAGACGAUCUUCCCCUGGAGUUUGGCCACUGGAUGGCCAAACUCCUCUGUUACCACCCCCAGCUGAACUCCUCUCAGCGUUCAGGUGUUCCUCAUCUUCUGUCUCUGCCAUGCCGUUCUGCUGUUUGACUGCUUUUCUCUUCAUCUCUUCAUCUGCUCCUGGAGCCUGGGGUUUGGGGUUUAUAUGGGUACAGGAUAUGGGGGUGUGGUAGGCCAAAGGGCAACUUUUUGGGUACGAAAACAGAAAUGCCUGUUCCCAGUUAGGGCCAUGGGUCUCCAGGCUUGAGGGCGGGGCCUUUGCUGGGGAGCCGCCCUCUUCUAUGCAGUAUUUCCCUGUCUCUUUUCUAUAUCAAUACCUCAAUAAAAUUUAGUUUUAAAAAAUAGCAUAUGUAAAAAGUUUGGCUAUUUAAAAAGUAAUUAUGUCCUAAAUUAUUUUGUAUACAAAGACCUGAGGACUUGAAAUAUUGUAAUAAUUGGAGCUUGUCUCUGCUUUAAGGGCACCACUCGCCCCUAAUCCAUCUUGGUUUCCCCCACAAGGCAGCAGGAGUGCCCAUGAAUGAACAUGGGUGAAAUCGUCGGAUACAGGUAGUAAAUACAUUCUAUUUCCUGAAAAAUAUUACCUAACUACAUGUCUAGAUAUGGAAUUGCAUUUUCAAGCCAAGUUGGAAUUACAAAUUGUAGCCCAUUUGAAAAUGCAUACAAAUGUGUGACAUAUACACCCAGAGGAAAGAAGUCACAGUUAUGAAAGAACGAAGUGGGAAAAUAUCUUUUUCAUGUAAGAUUGAGCAUUUUGGUUGAUACUGUGAUAAAAAAUCUUGUGACUGAUUCUCUUUUGCAUUGGUUUUUAGUGUCAUUUGCACUCUGCCCAACUCAGAUAAAAUUGUAUAUGAUGUAAAUAGCAGGAAACUAAACGGUGAUAUUGUCCUGAAAGGAAGCCACUUCAUUUUUCAAAGAUUUCUUCCGCGGCAGGGAUCUAGGAGUGUGCAGGGAUGGAGUUUUGCAUUUCUAGAGGAAACAGCAGGCAGGGUGUGUGCAGCCGGAAAGGGGGCGUCUAGGUUCCAAGGGCAAAUCCCACCCCCUUAGAGGGGAUUGGAGAGCCUGGGAAAGAGGCUGGGCUGCCUGUGAUCCCCACCCCACACCCUGCCUCCUACAAGCCCCAGAAGGUCCACACUUUGAGUCGUCAGCCAGAGACAGUAACUCAAAACCUCGGCUUUGGGCAGCCAGAAGCCCAGAAAUGGGGGAGAGGGCAGGCCUAGACACCAGGGAUGAAAAUAAAAUGAAUAUUAAAAAUUACCUACAUGUAAUGUUUCAUAUAUUCUAUAUAUUUUAAUAUAAAUGCCAGAGGUUUCUGAACCAGAGCAACUCCAUCUUGAAUAGGGGCUGGGUAAAUAAGGCUCCACCCUCAAGCCUGGAGAAUCUUGAAUAAGGCUGAGGCCUACUGGGCUGCAUUCCCAGGAAAGUAGGCAUUCUAAGUCACAGGAUGAGAUAGGAGGUCAGCACAAGAUACAGGUCACAAAGACCUUGCUGAUAAAACAGGUUGCGGUAAAGAAGCCAGCCACAACCAAGAUGGUGAUGAAAGUGGCAUCUGGUUGUCCUCAUUGCUCAUUACACGCUAAUUAUGAUGCAUUAGCAUGCUAAAAGACACCCUCACCAGCACCGUGAGAGUUUAUGAAUGCCAUGGCAACAUCAGGAAGUUAUCCUAUACCGUCUAAAAGGGGGAGGAACACUCAAUUCCAGGAAUUGCCCACACCUUUCCUGGAAAACUCAUGGAUAAUCCACCCCUUGUUUGGUAUAUAAUCAAAAAGUAACAAUAAGUACAAGCAGUUAAGCACCCCAUUCCACUGCUCUGCCUAUGGAGUGGCCAUUCUUUUAUUAUUAUUAUUAUUGAGACAGAGUUUCACUCUUGUUGCCCAGGCUGGAGUGCAAUGGUGCGAUCUCAGCUCACUGCAACCUCCGUCUCCUGGGUUCAAGCGCUUCUCCUGCCUCAGACUCCUGAGUAGCUGGGAAUACAGGUGCCCGCCACCACACCCAGCUAAUUUUAAUAUUUUUGGUAGAGACGGGGUUUCUCCAUGUUGAUCAGGCUGGUCUCAAACUCCCGACUUCAGGUGAUCCGCCCGCCUCCUCGGCCUCCCAAAGUGCUGGGAUUACAGGUAUGAGCCACCGUGCUUGGCCACUGGAGUCGCCAUUGUUUUAUUCCUUUACUUUCUCUAAUAAACUUGCUUUCACUUUA